AUACGUAGGUGACAAGCGUUAUCCGGAUUUACUGGGCGUAAAGGGCGUGUAGGCGGUCUUGCAAGUCAGAAGUGAAAUUCCUGAGCUCAACUCGGGCGCUGCUUCUGAAACUGCAGGACUUGAGUGCUGGAGGGGAUAGCGGAAUUCCUAGUGGAGCGGUAAAAUGCGCAGAUAUUAGGAAGAACACCGGUGGCGAAGGCGGCUAUCUGGACAGUAACUGACGCGGAGGCGCGAAAGCGUGGGGAGCAAACAGGAUUAGAUACCCGGGUUGUCCACGCCGUAAACGAUGAAUACUAGGUGUAGGGGGUAUCGACUCCCUCUGUGCCGCAGUUAACACAAUAAGUAUUCCGCCUGGGGAGUACGGCCGCAAGGUUGAAACUCAAAUGAAUUGACGGGG
rnacentral:rRNA from 1 species